GAGAAUCUGGCUCAGCGGAUAGUGUGCUACUUGGAGAGCGGGUGAACGCAGGUUCGAGUCCUGCAGUCCCCA
rnacentral:tRNA from 1 species